rnacentral:lncRNA from 1 species
AGACUUCUUGCUAUUCAUCUGCUUGCCAUGGUAAAAUCAAAAGAUCUUUCCCGUUGUGGUAUAGAUGAGAUAUUUGAGAGGAUUAACCGUUAUUUAAUUGAGCUGUGUGAUGGUGUCCAAGUUGUUACUGCAAGUGGUGAGAAGACAAUUCAUGGGGCACUCAUAUCUGUGUGUGGAGACACUCUAGCUCAGCAUGAAGUGGCUGGAUUUAAGGAAGGAGUGGGUUUUGCCUACAGUAAAUGCAGGCACUGCGAAUGCCACUUUGAAGACAUGCAGGAAAAAUGUAAUGAAGAUUUGUUUGUUAAAAGGACCAUGGCCAGUCAUAACAGGCAAUGUAAUGACAUUGAAAAGGCAAGUACUGACUUUCUGAAAGACAAUCUAAAAAUAACGUAUGGUAUAAACAGGAGAAGCAAGUUAACAGAAUCUCCUCACGUUGAUAUAAUCAAUCAAACCCCACAAGACAUCAUGCAUGUUAUUCUUGAAGGCGUUGCCCCAUAUGAAAUCAAAUGUGUUUUAAAGAAUCUUGUGCUUUCAGGGCAAAUGAACUUAGAUUCAUUCAAUAGUGCAAUUCUGUGUUUCCCUUAUUCUCCUGUUGAUGUGAGGGAUAAGCCUUGCCCCAUAUCUGUCAGUACGCUGUCAUCAAAUGACAAUAAAUUAAAACAGUCAGCUGGGCAGAUGCUGGUUUUGUUGAAGAUCCUUCCAUUUCUCAUGGACAAAAUUGGAGAAAAUCAUUACACACAAAUGCUACGUAACAUGUUAGAGAUCAUAAAAAUUCUGUUUUCACCUAUUAUUGCUGUCUCAACUCUCUCCAGACUGAAGCUUUUAAUAGAGCUGCAUUUAAAACAUUUCAAACAACUGUUUCCAGAUGAAAAUAUUAUACCUAAACAGCAUUAUUUACUGCAUCUUCCUUCUCAGAUUAAGGCUAUUGGUCCUACAGUGAGGCAUAUGUGUAUGCGCUUUGAGUCAAAACAUUGUUUCUUCAAGCAGUGGGCUCUGAAAAGUAGAUUUAAGAAUAUUUGUAAAUCUCUUGUGAAGCACAACCAACUUUAUGAAUGUAGUCAGAACGUGCAUGAGAAACAUCCCAUUUUUUCAAGUGAAGGCGACAUGGGUCCAGCCUCUGAGGUGAAAAAUGUUCAUUAUGUAGAAAGCAAGAUUAAAGACUUCAUUGAGCAAGUUGAAC